GAGGGAGAGGGAGAAGGGGGGAGAGAGGGAGAGGGGUUAGCUACAGGCGGAACACCUUGCACAGUCUCCUCCCGGGCAUUGCAGUGUCUGGUCGUCGCUCUCUGAAGAACAAAACUGCCUACCACAAGGGAAGGAGCGAAAGAAAGGAAGAAACAGGAGAGAGAAGGAGAGAAGGAGGGAGAGAGCGAGAAGCAGCAUCACACAAGUCUCUUCUCCUGGAUGCCACAGAAGGUGGUGUCGCUGCCCGGCCACCUGAAGGUCAGCGAAGGUCAACAAAGUGUCAGUUCAAGGUCAUGCCACUCCUGUCUGGAUCUGUUUUUU